rnacentral:lncRNA from 1 species
AGGAGUUAGCCACAGGGAGGGCCGCGGGCCUGGGCUGAGUUGUGGGGGAGGAGACAAAGGGGUGUGAGCCCGCCUGGGGAUGAGGCCUGGUGUGGUGGCAACUGACCUUAGCUUCGCGGGCUGACAGCUCUGGCCCAGGGCGGUGGCAGUGCUCCCUUUUGGACUUUUCCUGUAGGUUCCGUGCUAACCUCUUCUGUGAGCUCACUCUGCCCCUCCUCCUCCUCCUCCUCCCUUUAACUCCCUCGAGGUUCCCCAUUGGCUUAAGCGUUGCUUCUGGUAAUCUGGUAAGCCCGGGAAGUUGCUCCAGUCCCUGUUGGAGUCGCUACUGCUGUGUUCAUCAUGGCGAGCUGAUGGCACCAGGAGGAUGGAGCCUCUGGCCAGUGUGAGUCGUAGCAGUGCAGGAGGGGAGACCCUGGAGGAGAGAGCCCGCCUAAAUUGAUGUCUGCAGAUUGAAUUUCCAGAGGCUUAGGAGGAGGAAGUUCUCCAAUGUCCCGUGUCCAGGCCUUGGCUCAGGAAGCCCUGUAUUCAGGAGGCCACCCUUUAAGGGUGUCAAUGAGCUUGUGAGAGGGUGAUGGUUCCAAGUCCCAAGCAGAUGCAUCCGGGGUCGUCAGCAGAUGUGUUGAGUGUUUGAUCCGGAGCACCAACCUCUGGGCACGUUGAAUGCCAGCAGGCACCUCUCCUGUUCGGGGGUGGAGGUUUUCCGAUGGCUGCGUCUUCUAAUGCCUCCUGUCAUGCUAGUUCUGUGCUACGAACCUUGCUUCCAGAAGACUCUUAAGAUGUAGAACAUUUUAACGCUGAUGCCUCAACGCAGAGUGAUGCCUGGUAGAUGGAGCUUGCAGAUGGAGCCCAGGGACCCUGUCAUCUACUCACCUGCCUGCCCCAGCCUCGGUCGGAGGAAUUCUUAGUGUGAUGAUGUAACCUGUGUGUCCAGAAAGUGUUCACUGUUGAAACGCCUUAGGCCAAUACUCACAGGAAGCCACCUGGCAAACUGAGGGGGUCAUUGUGUUGUGCUGUGGUCUGGGAGGGUACAAGGUGGUGCUGCGCAAGUGGGGAUAGAAAUGCAGGUCUGGUUUGGGCAUUCCUACUACAAGAAGGGUGUGGUCAGGGUACUGAUAGUGGUCUCUGCUCCAUCUUGCCCUAUAUACUUUUUAACUUGAAUUUUAUUUGAUUAGAUUUCAAAGUAAUUUUAGUCUUCAAAUGAGGGGACCCCGAGGUGAGGGAUUGGGAGGGAGGGGAUGAUUUGGCCCUGGCGCUUGGGGGUGGGGGGGGAAGAAAGGGAGAGGGUUGUGAUUAGGUGUGGGUUCUGUAGGGUGGGAGUGGUUGGGUGUGUGGGUCGGAGGGAAUUUUCUGGAGAAAAUAUCAAUAGGCAGAGCUCUGGGGAGUUACGUAGAGCUCGUGGGAGAAGAAAAUACUAGUUAAUAGUAAAUUGUUAAUGCUAGUUGUUGCUUGGAAGCACAAAAGUUGCUUGCAAAUUUUCUAAAAUGCUUAGAACUCUUAAUUGCAGGAAGGAAAGCAAAAUUGUUUUGCUUUGCAAGAUGGGGAGGACUGGGAAAGGUAACAGCCUGGUUAUCAGUCACUUGAAAGACUGGUGUCAGGAACUUGCAUCAGCAGAUUAACACCGCUUUGCAAGCUUCAAAGUGGUUUAUCUGAAUGUGUGCAGAAUCCCGAGCAGUCUUAAGACUCUAAAUACCCAAAUUGGGGGCUUUUGAAGUAUUAUGUUUCAGAUUUUGGUGUGCACUUAAGAUGGUCAGAUGUACUUUUCUGGGUUUGUAACAUCUUAGCUGAGGUUUUGCAAUUGAAAACUUGAGCAGAGUGAAAAUGGUUUCUAGAGGAAUUCCGCAUGUCAUCUCCUGCCUUAUUAAACACAUCUCUUGUCUUUGUGAUUGGUACUAGUAACAGCAGAAGUUUUUCCCGUUAACCUUUUUGUCCUUGUUGUGACAAGAAGAACGUAGUAACCUUGUGACCGCUGUCGUCACUGUAUGGUAGCAAAUAGUCCGUGUAUCCUUGAUAAGGUUUCAGUUCAUAAUCCGCUGUAUCUUUAGUUUGAAUGUUUGUGCUUUUUAAGUGACCCAGUACUUCAUGUGGGAAACUAUUAAACCAAAAUCAGUUUUGGAAAUGAGAACAAAACCAGGGCUGGGCAAGUGCUUUAGAUACGGUCUGUAAAAAUCCAGGGGAAGAUCUGAACUCUUAUGAUACUUGUUUUCUGAGAUGCACCUAUUUAAUUGGUAAAGUAACAGCUGUGGCUUUUUAUCAUCUCCCUUUUCCCCUUAAAUUUACUUUGAAAAUUUUAAAUCCCCACUACUUAUUACCCUUGGGAGUUACGUCUUCUGGGUUCUUUGGUGAUGUUUAAAAAUAUGUUGACAUGUAGUUCAGUUUUUAACCUGUGACUUGGGCAUGAUGCGGUGACUCAUUGGAAUUUGAAGAGCACCAGUCACGCGUGUCGGGAAAUAUGUUGCGUUAUGCUGUUGUGAAAUCGAAACUGUAAAAGUAGGUGGUGAAAAUCACGUCUCUGUUGCUUUGUGUGGUGAGAACCAGUCCUGUUGCAUCAUGUAUGAUGACUAAUCAUUUUUCUUCCCCUUCACAGCACAAAUAAAGGUUUGAGUUCUAAACUCA